GGGGGUGGUUCGGUCCCGGUGGGCCGCGCGGUCUUCAAAACCGUUGGGAGGCUGCGGAGCAGACUCCGGUGGGUUCGACUCCCAUCCACUCCCG
rnacentral:tRNA from 1 species